rnacentral:rRNA from 1 species
AACGAACGUUGGCGGCGUGGAUGAGGCAUGCAAGUCGCGCGAGAAAGCAUCUUCGGAUGUGAGUAGAGCGGCGGACGGGUGAGUAACACGUAAUCAAGCUGCCCUCGAGACCGGAACAACAGGGGGAAACUCCUGCUAAUGCCGGAUGGAGCAACGUCAUCGCAUGUUGAUGUUGCUAAAGGUGGGGAUCCUGCGGGACCUGCCGCUCGGGGAGGCGAUUGCGGCCCAUCAGCUAGUUGGUAGGGUAACGGCCUACCAAGGCGACGACGGGUAGCGGGCCUGAGAGGGUGGUCCGUCACACUGGGACUGAGACACUGCCCAGACUCCUACGGGAGGCUGCAGUCGAGAAUCUUCCGCAAUGGGCGCAAGCCUGACGGAGCGACGCCGCGUGUAGGACGAGGGCCCUAGGGUUGUAAACUACUGUCACGAGUUAUGAAUGGCGUAACAUGAACAGUGUUGCGUUUGACGUAAGCUCGGGAGGAAGCACCGGCUAACUCUGUGCCAGCAGCCGCGGUAAUACAGAGGGUGCAAACGUUGUUCGGAAUCACUGGGCAUAAAGCGCACGUAGGCGGCCGAUCAAGUGCAAGGUGAAAGCCCACGGCUCACCCGUGGAACUGCUUUGCAUACUGAUUGGCUAGAGUACGGGAGAGGAGAGCGGAACUCUUGGUGGAGCGGUGAAAUGCGUAGAUAUCAAGAGGAACACCAGAGGCGAAGGCGGCUCUCUGGCCCGAAACUGACGCUGAGGUGCGAAAGCCAGGGUAGCGAACGGGAUUAGAUACCCCGGUAGUCCUGGCCGUAAACGAUGGGCACUAGCUGGUGGUCGUACCUGUG